rnacentral:rRNA from 1 species
UACGUAGGGCGCAAGCGUUGUCCGGAAUUAUUGGGCGUAAAGAGCGUGUAGGCGGCCAUACAGGUCCGUUGUGAAAACUGGAGGCUUAACCUCCAGACGUCGAUGGAAACCGUAUGGCUAGAGUCCGGAAGAGGAGAGUAGAAUUCCUGGUGUAGCGGUGAAAUGCGCAGAUAUCAGGAAGAACACCCGUGGCGAAGGCGGCUCUCUGGGACGGUACUGACGCUGAGACGCGAAAGCGUGGGGAGCGAACAGG